rnacentral:rRNA from 1 species
GACGAACGCUGGCGGCGUGCCUAAUACAUGCAAGUCGAACGAACUCUGGUAUUGAUUGGUGCUUGCAUCAUGAUUUGCAUUUGAGUGAGUGGCGAACUGGUGAGUAACACGUGGGAAACCUGCCCAGAAGCGGGGGAUAACACCUGGAAACAGAUGCUAAUACCGCAUAACAACUUGGACCGCAUGGUCCGAGUUUGAAAGAUGGCUUCGGCUAUCACUUUUGGAUGGUCCCGCGGCGUAUUAGCUAGAUGGUGGGGUAACGGCUCACCAUGGCAAUGAUACGUAGCCGACCUGAGAGGGUAAUCGGCCACAUUGGGACUGAGACACGGCCCAAACUCCUACGGGAGGCAGCAGUAGGGAAUCUUCCACAAUGGACGAAAGUCUGAUGGAGCAACGCCGCGUGAGUGAAGAAGGGUUUCGGCUCGUAAAACUCUGUUGUUAAAGAAGAACAUAUCUGAGAGUAACUGUUCAGGUAUUGACGGUAUUUAACCAGAAAGCCACGGCUAACUACGUGCCAGCAGCCGCGGUAAUACGUAGGUGGCAAGCGUUGUCCGGAUUUAUUGGGCGUAAAGCGAGCGCAGGCGGUUUUUUAAGUCUGAUGUGAAAGCCUUCGGCUCAACCGAAGAAGUGCAUCGGAAACUGGGAAACUUGAGUGCAGAAGAGGACAGUGGAACUCCAUGUGUAGCGGUGAAAUGCGUAGAUAUAUGGAAGAACACCAGUGGCGAAGGCGGCUGUCUGGUCUGUAACUGACGCUGAGGCUCGAAAGUAUGGGUAGCAAACAGGAUUAGAUACCCUGGUAGUCCAUACCGUAAACGAUGAAUGCUAAGUGUUGGAGGGUUUCCGCCCUUCAGUGCUGCAGCUAACGCAUUAAGCAUUCCGCCUGGGGAGUACGGCCGCAAGGCUGAAACUCAAAGGAAUUGACGGGGGCCCGCACAAGCGGUAGAGCAUGUGGUUUAAUUCGAAGCUACGCGAAGAACCUUACCAGGUCUUGACAUACUAUGCAAAUCUAAGAGAUUAGACGUUCCCUUCGGGGACAUGGAUACAGGUGGUGCAUGGUUGUCGUCAGCUCGUGUCGUGAGAUGUUGGGUUAAGUCCCGCAACGAGCGCAACCCUUAUUAUCAGUUGCCAGCAUUAAGUUGGGCACUCUGGUGAGACUGCCGGUGACAAACCGGAGGAAGGUGGGGAUGACGUCAAAUCAUCAUGCCCCUUAUGACCUGGGCUACACACGUGCUACAAUGGAUGGUACAACGAGUUGCGAACUCGCGAGAGUAAGCUAAUCUCUUAAAGCCAUUCUCAGUUCGGAUUGUAGGCUGCAACUCGCCUACAUGAAGUCGGAAUCGCUAGUAAUCGCGGAUCAGCAUGCCGCGGUGAAUACGUUCCCGGGCCUUGUACACACCGCCCGUCACACCAUGAGAGUUUGUAACACCCAAAGUCGGUGGGGUAACCUUUUAGGAACCAGCCGCCUAAGGUGGGACAGAUGAUUAGGGUG